rnacentral:rRNA from 1 species
CCAGGACCAAGGUCAGCAGCAGGCGCGAAAAUUAUCGAAGCCCGCCUAGGGGCGAUAGUGAGGAGACGUGUAUAACGAAGUACGUGUAAAGAACGUACUAAUAACUGGAGGUCAAGUCUGGUGCCAGCAUCCGCGGUAAUUCCAGCUCCAGGGGUGUCUAUGAUGAUUGCUGCGAUUAAAAAGUCCGUAGUCAAACUGACUGACUGACCUGCAAUGUGAUUGAUUAAAGAACGAGCAGGGUUAGGAAAGCAGAGAAUUAGGAGCGACCGAGGGCUAGAGUAUUGAAUGGCGAGAGGUGAAAUUUGAUGACCCAUUCAGGAGUGACAAAGGCGAAGGCACUAGUCAAGGGCGAAUCCGAUGAUCAAGGACGUAGGCUAGAGUUUCGAAAACGAUUAGAGACCGGAGUAGUUCUAGCAGUAAACUAUGCCGACGCCGUGAUAUUGUUUUUUGUGGCAGUAUUGCGGAAGAGAAAUCAAGUAAGGCUUUGGGGAGAGUACGCGCGCAAGCGAUAAAUU